UAUUCAGUCUUCCUCCUCCAUUUACUUCACAGUGGCUGGAGUUAAUUUUGCUCCUAUAUCUCAGACCAGUCUGUCUUCCCCACUGGAAGACGAUUACCUCACAAAUCCUUGUUUGUCUACUCCUGACCUUACCCCAUGGAGCACCAAUGCUUUUUGAGCACCCACCCACCCAGGCCCUUGGACAGUGGGCUCACUACUGAUGUGCUCUUGCGUGCCCUUAGAAAGAGUGAAUUGGAAUUAUCAAGUCUUAGUCCAUUAACCUGUGGGCCAUGGAGCAGGACUGGAAAGCCUAUUCUUCCUUCUAUACCAAGUAAUUGAGGUAAGGUGUUCAUUGCACAUUUAGGAUUUUUCAGAUCAUUGCAGUAUAAUGUGAAUCUUUAUGCUCUUAAAAUUCAGGGGCUAAAAACCCAUGACUCCUAAACCUCCUGUUAGCCUGAAAUCCUUUUGGUUUCAAACACUCAGAGUGGCAGAAGAGCUUCAGAAACUGCAUUUGGUGCUGAGUAUCUGUGGCCACAUGGCUUUGAUCUGGGUAGAACAGUUGCGAGGGGCCGUGGUUUUUGCUUAAGAUUUCCAGCACGUCACCGUUAAUCAAAUGUUCUGACAAGGCUCUACGAGGAGGCUGAUAACAUGCCCUGCUUUCUAAAAUGUACAUCUGGCACACUCCUGUCACGGCCCAAGAUGCAGAGAUGUUCAUCGCUGGCUUUUCUAGUGGUACUCUAUGGAAAGUCCUUGGACAUCACCGAUAACAAUGACAACAUAACCUCAAAGAUAAGUGACAAGUUAG
rnacentral:lncRNA from 1 species